UACGGAGGGGGCUAGCGUUGUUCGGAAUUACUGGGCGUAAAGCGCGCGUAGGCGGCUUUUCAAGUCAGGGGUGAAAUCCUUGGGCUCAACCCAAGAAUUGCCUUUGAAACUGUGGAGCUAGAGUGUCGGAGGGGAUAGCGGAAUUGCUAAUGUAGAGGUGAAAUUCGUAGAUAUGAGCAGGAACACCGGUGGCGAAGGCGGCUAUCUGGACGACAACUGACGCUGAGGCGCGAAAGCGUGGGGAUCAAACAGG
rnacentral:rRNA from 1 species